rnacentral:rRNA from 1 species
AUUGAACGCUGGCGGCAGGCCUAACACAUGCAAGUCGAACGAGUGGCGGACGGGUGAGUAAUGUCUGGGAAACUGCCCGAUGGAGGGGGAUAACUACUGGAAACUGUAGCUAAUACCGCAUACCAUCGGAUGUGCCUCGAUGGGAUUAGCUAGGAGGGGGGGUAACGGCUCACCUAGGCGACGCUCCCUAGCUGGUCUGAGAGGAUGACCAGCCACACUGGAACUGAGACACGGUCCAGACUCCUACGGGAGGCAGCAGUGGGGAAUAUUGCACAAUGGGCGCAAGCCUGAUGCAGCCAGGCCGCGUGUAUGAAGAAGGCCUUCGGGUUGUAAAGUACUUUCAGCGAGGAGGCGUUACUCUCAGAAGAAGCACCGGCUAACUCCGUGCCAGCAGCCGCGGUAAUAC